UACGUAGGGUGCAAGCGUUGUCCGGAAUUAUUGGGCGUAAAAGACGCUCGUGAGGCGGCUUGUUGCGUCAGCUGUGAAAACCCGCAGCUCAACUGUGGGCUUGCAGCUGAUACGGGCAGGCUUGAGUUCGGUAGGGGAGACUGGAAUUCCUGGUGUAGCGGUGAAAUGCGCAGAUAUCAGGAAGAACACCGGUGGCGAAGGCGGCCUGCUGGGCAGUUGCUGACACUGAGGCGCGACAGCGUGGGGAGCAAACAGG
rnacentral:rRNA from 1 species